UGGGGAAUUUUCCGCAAUGGGCGAAAGCCUGACGGAGCAAUGCCGCGUGUAUGAAGAAGGCCUUCGGGUUGUAAAGUACUUUCAGCGGGGAGGAAGGUGUUGAGGUUAAUAACCUCAGCAAUUGACGUUACCCGCAGAAGAAGCACCGGCUAACUCCGUGCCAGCAGCCGCGGUAAUACGGAGGGUGCAAGCGUUAAUCGGAAUUACUGGGCGUAAAGCGCACGCAGGCGGUCUGUCAAGUCGGAUGUGAAAUCCCCGGGCUCAACCUGGGAACUGCAUUCGAAACUGGCAGGCUAGAGUCUUGUAGAGGGGGGUAGAAUUCCAGGUGUAGCGGUGAAAUGCGUAGAGAUCUGGAGGAAUACCGGUGGCGAAGGCGGCCCCCUGGACAAAGACUGACGCUCAGGUGCGAAAGCGUGGGGAGCAAACA
rnacentral:rRNA from 1 species